rnacentral:rRNA from 1 species
GACGAACGCUGGCGGCGUGCUUAACACAUGCAAGUCGAACGGAAAGGCCCUGCUUUUGUGGGGUGCUCGAGUGGCGAACGGGUGGGUAACACGUGAGUAACCUGCCCUUGACUUUGGGAUAACUUCAGGAAACUGGGGCUAAUACCGGAUAGGAGCUCCUGCGGCAUGGUGGGGGUUGGAAAGUUUCGGCGGUUGGGGAUGGACUCGCGGCUUAUCAGCUUGUUGGUGGGGUAGUGGCUUACCAAGGCUUUGACGGGUAGCCGGCCUGAGAGGGUGACCGGCCACAUUGGGACUGAGAUACGGCCCAGACUCCUACGGGAGGCAGCAGUGGGGAAUAUUGCACAAUGGGCGGAAGCCUGAUGCAGCAACGCCGCGUGCGGGAUGACGGCCUUCGGGUUGUAAACCGCUUUCGCCUGUGACGAAGCGUGAGUGACGGUAAUGGGUAAAGAAGCACCGGCUAACUACGUG